UGCAAGUAGAACGCUGAAGAUAGGAGCUUGCUCUUCUUGGAUGAGUUGCGAACGGGUGAGUAACGCGUAGGUAACCUGCCUUGUAGCGGGGGAUAACUAUUGGAAACGAUAGCUAAUACCGCAUAACAAUGGAUGACACAUGUCAUUUAUUUGAAAGGGGCAAUUGCUCCACUACAAGAUGGACCUGCGUUGUAUUAGCUAGUAGGUGAGGUAAUGGCUCACCUAGGCGACGAUACAUAGCCGACCUGAGAGGGUGAUCGGCCACACUGGGACUGAGACACGGCCCAGACUCCUACGGGAGGCAGCAGUAGGGAAUCUUCGGCAAUGGGGGCAACCCUGACCGAGCAACGCCGCGUGAGUGAAGAAGGUUUUCGGAUCGUAAAGCUCUGUUGUAAGUCAAGAACGGGUGUGAGAGUGGAAAGUUCACACUGUGACGGUAGCUUACCAGAAAGGGACGGCUAACUACGUGCCAGCAGCCGCGGUAAUACGUAGGUCCGAGCGUUGUCCGGAUUU
rnacentral:rRNA from 1 species